rnacentral:rRNA from 1 species
CCUUUGGAUUGUGUGUGCUGCGAAGUUGUUCCAGGAAAAGCUGCCACCAUACACGGCCGUACCAAAACCGACACAGGUGGGAUGGUAGAGGAUACCAAGGCGUUGAGAGAACUGUAGCUAAGGAACUAGGCAAAAUGCUCUCGUAACUUCGGAAGAAGAGAGACCCAUUUAAGCGCAAGCUCUAAUGGGUAGCAUAAAAUCGGGGGUAGCGACUGUUUAUUAAAAACACAGGUCUACGCAAACACGAAAGUGGACGUAUAUGGACUGACGCCUGCCCGGUGCUGGAAGGUCAAAUGGCGGUGUGCAAGCACCAAAAUGAAGCCCCAGUAAACGGCGGCCGUAACUAUAACGGUCCUAAGGUAGCGAAAUUCCUUGUCAGGUAAGUUCUGACCCGCACGAAAGGCGUAACGACUUCCCCUCUGUCUCAGCUACAGACUCAGCGAAACUAAUUCUCCGUGAAGAUGCGGAGUACCCGCGGCCAGACGGAAAGACCCCGUGCACCUUUACUGCAGGUUUGCACUGAAUUUAGGUCGAUUAUGUGCAGGAUAGGUGGGAGACUAUGAAACCUGGGCGUCAGCUCAGUGGAGUCACCCUUGAGAUACCACCCUUAAUUAAUCUGAAUUCUAACAUCGUCCAGUAAUCCUGGACAUAGACAAUGCAUGCCGGGCAGUUUGACUGGGGCGGUCGCCUCCCAAAUAGUACCGGAGGCGUGCGAAGGUUAGCUCAGAGCGGUCGGAAAUCGCUCGAUGAGUGCAAUGGCAUAAGCUAGCCUGACUGUAAGGCACACAUGUCAAGCAGAUACGAAAGUAGGUCAUAGUGAUCCGGUGGUCCCGCAUGGAAGGGCCAUCGCUCAACGGAUAAAAGGUACGCCGGGGAUAACAGGCUGAUCGCAUCCAAGCGUCCACAGCGACGAUGCGGUUUGGCACCUCGAUGUCGGCUCAUCACAUCCUGGGGCUGUAGCAGGUCCCAAGGGUUUGGCUGUUCGCCAAUUAAUGUGGUACGUGAGCUGGGUUUAGAACGUCGUGAGACAGUUCGGUCCCUAUCUACCGUGGGUGUUGGAACAUUGAGAAGAGUUGCUCCUAGUACGAGAGGACCGGAGUGAACAUGCCUCUGGUGCACCAGUUGUCGUGCCAACGGCACAGCUGGGUAGCUAUUGCAUGGAAGGGAUAACUGCUGAAAGCAUCUAAGCAGGAAGCCUCCUUCAAAACAAGUGUUCCCUAUGAGAAUCGUUGUAGACCACAACGUUGAUAGGUUGGGUGUGGAAGUGUAGUAAUACAUGAAGCUAACCAAUACUAAUUUUCC